GUUCUAAGACGUUGAUACACAUUGGCAGCGGUGUCCAUUUCGACCUUCAACUUUGAACAUUAACAACAAUGAAUUUUCCUUCGUCACAAUGACCAUUAAGAUUGAAACAUUUAAUUUAAACUAAGAAAUGUUGGAUCUGUCUUUGUAACACGAAAUGUAGUACAAUAACUGCCUCCUUUCUUAUUUAAAAACAACUCAUAGAGGUGCACAGAUUGUCAGCAUUGCGCACAAUUUUGACGCGAAGCAACAUUUUUCAGUAACAGUACACGUUCAAAACUUUAUCAGUUUCAUGACACAUCUUUGGCUAGAUAUGUACAAGGCGUAAACAAAUAAUUGACUGUCGAUCAAACAGAAUAUUCUCAGAAACAUGCACUGUUGCAUUCUGAUCUAAAGCGUUGUGCCCAUAUGUGAUGCAAAACAACAUAUUUCACUAAAUGCACAUGUUCAAAAUUCUGUAAAAUUACACAAUGCUUCAUUGAUUUAGUGUGUGCAAGACAUUAAACACCAUAAUGACAGUAAUUAGAGUAGUCUGCGAAACAACUAUAACAUUCAGAAUCAAUUCACCGCGCCCAACGUACAGAUAGUACAGUCACAACUGUGCAUUAAACAAAAUGAAAGUGAAACGUUCUUUUGGUUUUUUGGAGCAUUAUCGAAUUGUUUACAGGACUUGGAAUUAUCAAAAUGAAAAGAUAUAUGCUAGUUUAGAGAGAUAAACCAGUUAGUGUUUAGCCGUAUGAAAUUGUGACAGAUCAUCAUCACAUAUAUUUAAGGAAAAUAAGACCGCCUAUCCAUUUAGACAAAAUUGAUCUCGAACAACUUCUCCUAGUGCAUACUCAAGGACCAGACACACAAAGAGCCGAUAUCAUUUUGGAUGCCUCCUAACAUUAUUUAUAAAUUAGACAAUGGUGCAAGACCGUGUGUUGUCGAUGGGGCGGUAGAGUUCGAACUUCAAACCUGUAUCCGUUGUUCUACAUAGUUGUGUAUCACAUCAAAUGUAGUGUUUGGACGUCUUGUAGUCCAAACGUAAGAUGUGGACACAUAACGAACGUGCCCAAUAUGUAGUGUAUUAGUGAAAGUUCGUAUCAAAGAAUGUCGGUCCUAGACAUGUCAAAUAAACACAUGCAUAAAAAUU